ensembl:lncRNA
GGGUUAAAUGUGGUAUAAUCUCCAACUGACAGUUCUCUUUAUUAUUGAAAGUAAUGCAGUAAAAACCUGAUGAAGAAAUGCACUGUACAUCUCCCUCUUUCUAUAAACCCAGUUAACCAUAAUAUUAUAUGACGACUCACUCAUUUAGGACAAUUUCUUGUUUACACAGACAAAAAUGCAACUGCCAAACUAAUUGAUUUCAAAAAGAGUAAAGGAGUGGAGGAUGGUGAUAUCAAGAUCCAAGAAGAAAUCAAGAAAGCUGCUAAUGUGGCAUAUUAUAUCCUCUCUGGUGGAGAGUCUUACCCUCAGUCUGACGGUGAUGGCAGUUGGAGUAACAAGUGCCUCAUCCUGGACCUCAUUGAGGGCAUGAUCCGCUCAGGAAGUCUGGAGUAUGCUCUCCACCACCCCAUCUUCUGGUCCGAGAUCCGACAGACGUGGUACCUGCAGGCUGUGGGGAACUUCAUAAUUCAUAGUAAAUAUGACGAAGGGGUCAAACGGAAACUCAUCAAAGCAUCCAAGGGCAAGUCUUUCAUGACGUGGCGACAACAGGUGGAAAAAGAUUUUCCUGGGCUUUUGGAGGGCAUGGAUAAGUAUUUGAAGACCCCCUACCCGGACAAUACAUGGGGGCUUCUGCGCUUCAUACGCAAUGUGUACCAACACAGAGCUGAGCUGGCCCUGUCCAUGAAGUUCACCUCACCUCACCUGACCUCUUUGAGACCGUCUACUUAUUUGCUGAGGAGAUGGGCUGGAACUCCAGGAGAUCUCUACAGGACAUCUUCACCGAAUGGGAGAGUCUUUGGCGUCACUGUGUUAUGACCUCUAUGUUUUACUGUCAUUUUCCCUGUUAAACACACGGGUUUUAAUCUGUUUAAGAGAUUUGAGAGAGAACUUAUUUGUGAAUUGGUAAAAAUAUAAUUUUGUGACUUGUAGAGAAUUUCUUUGGUCCAUUCAUCCAUUUCACAGCUGGCAUUUUCAAAUUAUGUAGAAAAAGGUAACGAUGCCAGAUUUUGCCCAAACAGAAAUGAGAGUUUUCAGAACAAAACCUCGUAUCUCCAUUUGUGAAAACGCCUGUUGUCCUUUAUAUUGUGUGUAAAUUUCAUGAUGAAUGGACAAAAAGAAACGGCCCAAAAUGAUGUGGAAAACAUUCUGGUUCCAUCGACUUACAUUAAAAGUAAAUGAGGUUUUUUCCUUCUCCUGUAAAGUUCCCAUUCUGGAGAUAUGAAGUUCUUCCAACAGCAGCAAUAAGUAAUGCUAUAAAUAACUACUUAUAUGCUCCUAAUGUUAAACGUGUAGAACACUGGACAACUUGUUUUCCAGAUUUUCUAGCUCUUUAGCAGCAGAUACGUCAUCUCACUCACUUCUUUCUGUUUGUAAUUUUUUAGAACCACCACAGUUUGGCCGAAGGGGGCGGUUCCACUGCAGCAGAGCCGUUUGUCCUGCACUGGCUGAAGCCAAUUUGCUGCCAAAUCCCGACCAGACCCCCAGCCUAACCCUGACCCUACAUUCAGAUCAGUCACUUUCAUUUCUGAAAUAAUUUCACUGCUAAAACCAUUUUUUCCAUCUUUUACACUUCCACUUUUUAAAUAGUUACUUUUAUUUAACGUUUCAAAAUGUGGCAGUUAACCCCAGUAUUGAAUGUCGCUGCCGCGUCCGGUCACUCCUCACUCGACACUCGGCUGAGACAGAGAGGAUGGAGAUAAAGUUUACAUCCAAACGUUUUUAUGAAGGAAUUUUUAUGAAGCUGCCAAGACGACAUUGAUUGUGAUUGUGAAAACUAUUCGCUCUUUAGAGAAAUGAGAGUUUAUACUUUUACAAAAGUAUUUAUUAAUCUUAUUCGGUCAAAUGUUCUGUGUGUUCGUGUCCUUUCAGUGUUUUGAUGACUAUAAAUAUGUUUAGAUGCUUGCAGAUUUCAUACAGGGCACUGAAUAUUUUAGUUUACUGUUAUGCAGUAAGGGCUCACUUGUAAUGAUUUUGGUGACACUUUCUCUGAAUUUCACCUUUGUCAGCAUCUAUAAACACAUUCAUAACAUGUUAUAAUGCAUUCAUAAGGCAUUAUAAAACAUGGCUAUAAAUAUUUAUAAAAAUGCAUUCUAUGUUAUAGCCAUGCUUAUUAUGCAUUAUGAAUUGUUAAUGCUUUAUAAGUGCUGUUCAUAACACAUUAUAAGAGCUCAUAAGCUGUAUUAGUCCGGUCUGUGUAAAGUGGAGCGUACUGGACUAAAGCCUCCUCCAGGGUUCAGACUGAGGCUUCAAGUUGAAGAAUUUACUGAAGGAUUUACUGAAACACUAAAACACAAUAAGCUCAUUACAGGCUUCAAAUGUCAGAGUUUAAACUAGAGCAACAUCAGAGUUUCACCCAAUGUGGGAAAGUCAAUGUUCACCACUGUUUCACCACUGAGGGGCUCACUUCUUUGGCACUGACAGUAUAACAUGUGUGGAUUUUUACGUCUUUAGUAGCAUACUUUUGAGUAUUAAUGUUUGUGGUCGCACACUUUUGAGUAUUAAAGUUUGUAGUAGUAUACUUUUGAGUAUUAAAGUUUGUAGUAGUAUACUUUUGAGUAUUAAUGUUUGUGGUCGCACACUUUUGAGUAUUAAAGUUUGUAGUAGUAUACUUUUGAGUAUUAAAGUUUGUAGUAGUAUACUUUUGAGUAUUAAUGCUUGUAGUAGUAUACUUUUGAGUAUUAAAGUUUGUAGUAGUAUACUUUUGAGUAUUAAUGUUUGUAGUAGUAUACUUUUGAGUAUUAAAGUUUGUAGUAGUAUACUUUUGAGUAUUAAUGUUUGUGGUCGCACACUUUUGAGUAUUAAAGUUUGUAGUAGUAUACUUUUGAGUAUUAAAGUUUGUAGUAGUAUACUUUUGAGUAUUAAUGCUUGUAGUAGUAUACUUUUGAGUAUUAAAGUUUGUAGUAGUAUACUUUUGAGUAUUAAUGUUUGUAGUAGUAUACUUUUGAGUAUUAAAGUUUGUAGUAGUAUACUUUUGAGUAUUAAUGCUUGUAGUAGUAUACUUUUGAGUAUUAAAGUUUGUAGUAGUAUACUUUUGAGUAUUAAUGUUUGUAGUAGUAUACUUUUGAGUAUUAAAGUUUGUAGUAGUAUACUUUUGAGUAUUAAUGUUUGUAGUAGCACACUUGAGUAUUAAAGUUUGUAGUAGUAUACUUUUGAGUAUUAAAGUUUGUAGUAGUAUACUUUUGAGUAUUAAAGUUUGUAGUAGUAUACUUUUGAGUAUUAAUGCUUGUAGUAGUAUACUUUUGAGUAUUAAAGUUUGUAGUAGUAUACUUUUGAGUAUUAAUGUUUGUAGUAGUAUACUUUUGAGUAUUAAAGUUUGUAGUAGUAUACUUUUGAGUAUUAAUGCUUGUAGUAGUAUACUUUUGAGUAUUAAAGUUUGUAGUAGUAUACUUUUGAGUAUUAAUGUUUGUAGUAGUAUACUUUUGAGUAUUAAAGUUUGUAGUAGUAUACUUUUGAGUAUUAAUGUUUGUAGUAGCACACUUGAGUAUUAAAGUUUGUAGUAGUAUACUUUUGAGUAUUAAAGUUUGUAGUAGUAUACUUUUGAGUAUUAAAGUUUGUAGUAGUAUACUUUUGAGUAUUAAAGUUUGUAGUAGUAUACUUUUGAGUAUUAAAGUUUGUAGUAGUAUACUUUUGAGUAUUAAUGUUUGUAGUAGCACACUUGAGUAUUAAAGUUUGUAGUAGUAUACUUUUGAGUAUUAAAGUUUGUAGUAGUAUACUUUUGAGUAUUAAAGUUUGUAGUAGUAUACUUUUGAGUAUUAAAGUUUGUAGUAGUAUACUUUUGAGUAUUAAUGCUUGUAGUAGUAUACUUUUGAGUAUUAAUGCUUGUAGUAGUAUACUUUUGAGUAUUAAUGUUUGUAGUAGCACACUUUUGAGUAUUAAAGUUUGUAGUAGUAUACUUUUGAGUAUUAAAGUUUGUAGUAGCACACUUGAGUAUUAAAGUUUGUAGUAGUAUACUUUUGAGUAUUAAAGUUUGUAGUAGUAUACUUUUGAGUAUUAAAGUUUGUAGUAGUAUACUUUUGAGUAUUAAUGCUUGUAGUAGUAUACUUUUGAGUAUUAAUGCUUGUAGUAGUAUACUUUUGAGUAUUAAUGUUUGUAGUAGUACACUUUUGAGUAUUAAAGUUUGUAGUAGUAUACUUUUGAGUAUUAAAGUUUGUAGUAGUAUACUUUUGAGUAUUAAAGUUUGUAGUAGUAUACUUUUGAGUAUUAAUGUUUGUAGUAGCAC